UCUCCAGCAGCUCCUGCUGCGUCUCAAUGAUCUUGUUGAGUUCUUUGAGAUACUCCGCCGCCUUGCUUGGGUUCUCCGCCGGGGUCUCCAUGGCCCCGGCCAGCCCGGCGGGUGGGGGCUGGCCAAAGCGCUGAGGGAGCCGGCGGCGCCCGGACGCUCAGCUUGACUACGAAUGUAAAAGGACCGUCAACAAACCAAGCACCACCCGACUACACUUUCCCCCCGGUUCAGCACGGUUGCAAAUCCGCUUUCCGGCUAGGGAGCGCCAACACAGCUGUCCUUACUUCGGGCCGCCAUUGCCCACGGGCCCUCUUGCUGCUCUUGAGCGAGCCGGCUGUGUUUGCUGUUAUUGCGCCUACACCUACGAGGUCCAGCCCUUCCGCGGCUUUGGAACGCGGGCUUCCGUUUCUGUACUUAGGCAACAGCCAUCAACUCCCUCUUCUCCUCCAACAAACCCCCUGGAAAAGUCACAGCGGACAGCCCAGUAAGAGCUCGCGCAUCUAGUUUUCUGCACCUCAGCCUCUUCCUUCGUUAGUUCUUCCUGGCCUUUCCUUCUUGCCCCUUGUUUUCCCCCCUCUUCUUCUCACGCAGGCGCUCUCUCCACAUCUCCUGCUGCCGGGUAGCUGCUCUUCUUAUUAAGCAGCAACAGUCGCUUCCUACGCGUGCCGGUGCGGAGGGACUCGCGCGAAGUUUGGGAAGUGCCCGUUCCCUACAGGGCGUCGCGCACUUUCACCGACUCUGGGGAGGAGCUGGUCCUCCUGAGCAGCUCCUAGCAGCACUGCCUUGCCUCCCACUGACUGACUGACUGACUGAGCCACUAUUGCCGCUGCCUGCUGCUGCUGUCACCGGCGUCCUCCCAGCAACCGCUGGGCAGGCGAGUCAGUCACAGCGCUUCACUCCCCCUUUCUCUCACACGCCCCGGAACGACUGAGAACCAGAGUCCGGAGCUGCUUGGAGGAGGAACGGCUAAGGACAGCUUCAGGACGGCUGCGAAGGCGGGGGCCUGCUUGGUGAAGAUAACACUUGGGGAGCAAACGAGGGAUCGCCCGGUCGCCUCAGAGCCGCUCCUCUUUUGGCGGGAAAAUGCGAGGAGCCCCGCGGAACAGCACCUUUAUAGGCGGGAAGGUGGUUAGGUGGCUUGGCUGGAAAGAGAGGAGCAUCCCGCUCCUCUCCCACCCCCAUCUCGGUCUCCUCUCCAAUCUGGGGGGCAUCUCUGCGAACAGCUGGGGACCCCAACAAGGCGGAAGCCCCAUCAGAGUACAUCAUCUCCUCAACAGUUUAUUCAUCCUCUGAAACUGCAAUCAUCUGGGUCAGCAUUAUCUCCAUGGCAACCGAACUUAUGAAGACGCAUAUGUUUUAUCUUUCUGAAAAUACAAAAAAAAAAAAAAAAAAAAGAUAGAGAAAUCUCCCAGAGGGGAAAUGUUUCCUUUCUUUGUUGGUCCUCUAUUUUGAAACUUUUUUACCCAAUCAACAGGCAUAAAUAAGGAUGCCACACAAUGAAUUAAACAGUUUGGGAGUAAUG